GUUGUAUGUAUAUUUACGAUAUGAAUAUACUGAUAUGUUUAUGCAUGUAUGCAUACAAUUGCUUACUCUCAGUUAUAUACAAUAAUUAAUGUACAUAUAUAUUGAUAUGCGCACGCACAUGCACCCUUACACGUUGAUAAGUGCAUAUAAAUUGUAUAGGUCCACACUAAAACAUGCAAUCUAUAUAUACUGAUAUAUAUGACCAUAAAGACACUUAUUAGCAGUUUAUAUAAAUAUAUACAGUGUGUAAUAUCUAAGAUAUGUAUAUACUGAUAUGUUUAUGUGUCUAUGUAUAUACCUGCUAUCUGUUAUAUAUACAUUGAUAUGCACAUGCAUAUGCACCCUUAUGCAUUGGUAGUGCAUAAUACAUUUCAAUAUACACUAAAUGAUAUAUACGAUCAUAUAAGCACCUAUUAUCAGUUUAUACAGUUAUUAGCGUAUAUCUACACUACUGACAUGUAGGCACACUGAUAUGCACAUGUAUAUAUGUACAUUAAUGUAUAAGACCAUAUAAUAUACUUAUUAUCAGUGGUAUAUAUAGUUAUUAGGACUAUUUGUAUAUGUAUUGAUUUAUAAAAACAUAUACUAUUGUUUUCAGUGAAUAUUUAUAUAUAUAUAUAAAUUCUGAUGCAUAUAACCAUACAAUACUUUAGUUAUCAGCUAUAUAUACACUUGUUAAUGUGUAAAAAAUACAUUGAUACGUGUGUGUGCGAUGUUUGUAUACAUAUAUAAAGUGUAUAUACUGAAAUAAGUAUAUGUAUAAAGUGCAUAACUGUAUAAAUAUAGAGCAAAUUACAUACAUUCAUAUACACAUUCAUGUAUAUGACCAUACAUACACUUAUUAUCAGCUUAUACACACACAUAACAUAUAUAUAUAUUACACAUAAAUGUGUGUUAUUAAUAUAUAUAUGCACAGGAUAUACGCAUACAGAUGCACCCUCAGGCAUUGUUAAGUGCAUAUAUAUUGUGCAUGUAGUAUACCAAUGCAUACAUUCUAUAUACACUAAUAUAUAUGACCAUAUAGAUACUUAUUAGCAGUAUAUAUAUAUAGUGUGUAUAUAUAUAGGACAUGUAUGUACUGAUAUGUUUGUAUGUGUAUAUAUACA
rnacentral:lncRNA from 1 species